AGUCAAAUUGUUGACUUUCUAAGGUUUAAUAGGUAUGGAAACUCCAACUUCACCCACAUACCAUAUUUUGGUCAUCAAACUUGUUAGUUUUGGUCCUUUUUCUCAAAACUUAGGUCUUUUAGGCAAAAUUGCCAAAUUUUUAGUUUUGGUGUCCCUAGUUGUACUGUUUCAUUAGUCAGUUUACUGUUUGAAUUUGGCAAAACUUUCUUCAUAUAAAAUGUUCCCUAAUGUCUUAAGUUUAUUCUCCUUUUU
rnacentral:misc_RNA from 1 species